rfam:Triticum aestivum genome assembly, contig: Triticum_aestivum_CS42_TGACv1_scaffold_147032_2BS
AAAUUACUCCCUCCGUCCGGAAAUACUUGUCAUCAAAAUGGAUAGAAGGUGUAUUUAGACGUAUUUUAGUUCUAGAUACAUCUCUUUUUAUCCAUUUUGAUGACAAGUAUUUUCGGACGGAGGGAGUAUAUA